AGAUGGGUUUUUUUGUUCUUCUGUGGCCAUGAAAAUGAGGGGUGAGGGACUCGAGUAUAAAUGAGGAUGCUCACCCAGUGUAAGCAACCAGUGUAGCCAGCUGAUGUCUCCUGGUGUAACUGCUGGAGGAAGAAAUGUUCUUCUAGAGUGACUAAUUUAGUGCUUGGACUUGUCAGUUGGAAGAGUCAUUCCCUUCCAUGGGCUCUGGAAGAAGCCAGAAAUACAAGGCUAACCAAGGUGAAUCUACCUGCAUAAAUAUACUUGUAACCUAAUGUGGAAACCAACAAGAGUAACAGGACAAUAACAGGACUAUCUGCCUAUAAACAUCUUUUGCCUUGUGGAAAACUAGUCAAACCCAACUGGACA